GUGCCAGCCGCCGCGUUAAUACGGAGGGUGCAAGCGUUAAUCGGAAUUACUGGGCGUAAAGCGUACGUAGGCGGUGUGUUAAGCAAGAUGUGAAAGCCCCGGGCUCAACCUGGGAAUGGCAUUUUGAACUGGCACGCUAGAGUCCUGAAGAGGGUGGUAGAAUUUCCAGUGUAGCGGUGAAAUGCGUAGAUAUUGGAAGGAAUACCGGUGGCGAAGGCGGCCACCUGGUCAGAGACUGACGCUGAGGUACGAAAGCGUGGGGAGCAAACAGGAUUAGAAACCCCUGUAGUCC
rnacentral:rRNA from 1 species